rnacentral:rRNA from 1 species
UACGGGGGGGGCGAGCGUUGUUCGGAAUUACUGGGCGUAAAGGGCGCGUAGGCGGAUACUUAAGUCGGGGGUGAAAGCCCGGGGCUCAACCUCGGAAUUGCCUUCGAUACUGGGUAUCUUGAGUUCGGGAGAGGUGAGUGGAAUGCCGAGUGUAGAGGUGAAAUUCGUAGAUAUUCGGCGGAACACCAGUGGCGAAGGCGACUCACUGGCCCGAUACUGACGCUGAUGCGCGAAAGCGUGGGGAGCAAACAGG